GNAUCUACAGCACGGCGAGUUUAGACUAUUCUAACAUCGUGGCCGGUUCNGUUUUAUANAUCUCAACACCUGAGACCGCUCGAUUUUACAGCCUAACGCAUGCAAGUCGCAGCGGCGCCAGAGGAGCUUGCUCCUGGGUGGCGCAGUGGCGGACGGGUGAGGAAUACAUCGGAAUCUACUCUGAUCGAUGAGAGAGAGACAUAAACGAUAAGAGAGAAAAACUUAACGAACCUAAAUAACCGACAUAACGAAACCCUNACGGNGAUGACAACAGACAGAGGAGAAAUCUAUUCGAGACACCUUUGACGACGANAUUGAAAAAUGAAAGACCGAAUGAUCGAGAAAUUACAGACUUACAGAAUAUAGAGAACUGAGAGGAUAAAAACAGAGACCCCGCACCAAAGGAUCGACAACGNCAAAUACCCCCGAUAAAGACACAUUAGGGAUACCUAGGAAAGGAGAAGCAAUNGGAAUUCAGAACACAACAACGUUGGAGGNAAAACCUGGAAGGAAACAACCGGAGGAGUAUCCCCAAAGGAAACCNUUACCCCAUUAAAACCGGUGGGGAGCAAAGGAGGCCCAAAGUGACCCAAACGGUCUAGGCAGGAAGACAGAGACAACANGUUGAACUUANUCUGGGAGGANAGCCCAAACAAUUAGGCGGAGGAGCCCGGCCCAAACACAGUGACCUCCCUUUAGGGAAAAAUUUUCCCCCAAGAGAGGCCUCCCGAAAAUUAAAACCCGUCCGNAGAGCCCGNNGAGUUUAGGGAGGNGGNUAGACAAACAACGACACCACGGACACCUCUACUACCAGCGAGAGCAAUCUUGAGGCUUAGACAC
rnacentral:rRNA from 1 species